AACGAACGCUGGCGGCGUGCCUAAUACAUGCAAGUCGAACGGGGAAAGCUUUCGGGUGCGUACUAGUGGCUCACGGGUGAGGAACGCGUGGAUAAUCUGCCUUAGAGUGGGGGAUCACUAGUCGAACGAUGAGAUAAUACCGCAUAAGAGCACGAGAACUGCAGCUUUUGAGGUAAAAGGUUUUUGGCUCUAAGAUGAGUCCGAGUAAGAGUAGCUAGUUGGUGAGGUAACUGCUCACCAAGGCGGCGAGCUUUAACAAGUCUGAGAUGAUGAUCAGUCACGCCGCAUCUGAGACACGGUACAGACGCCUACGGGAGGCAGCAGGAGGGAAUAUUGCACAAUGGAGGAAUGACUGAUGCAGCUACGCCGCGUGUGUAAUGAUGUUAUUCGGGUCGUAAAGCUCUGUCGCAGAGUAAUAACACAAUGAAGGUACCCUGUAAGAAAGGAACGGCUAACUUCGUG
rnacentral:rRNA from 1 species